rnacentral:misc_RNA from 1 species
GUAUUGCAACAAAGGCCUUUGCGGCACAAUCACGUUCAAUAUUAUUGAAGCAGUGUAUAUAAGGAGAGGAAGGGAACCCCCCGAAGAAAACCUGGUGCGGCCAACAACAGGCAAUCAAACUCGGAGACCCUCCGAAAUGUGCACAGGUGGCAUUUGGAUGAAGAUUGUUGGGGGGCGAGCACAUGCAGCGAAAGAAACAGCUUCCAGCAUCAACCCCCCAUUACAAUUCGUUAAUGAUCCUUCCGCAGGUUCACCUACGGAAA